UACGUAGGAAGCAAGCGUUGUCCGGAAUUACUGGGCGUAAAGCGCGUGUAGGCGGUACGACAAGUCUGCUGUGAAAGCGCCCGGCUUAACCGGGCGAGGUCAGUGGAUACUGCCGGGCUAGAGUCCGGAAGAGGCGAGUGGAACUCCUGGUGUAGCGGUGGAAUGCGCAGAUAUCAGGAAGAACACCAACGGCGAAGGCAGCUCGCUGGGACGGUACUGACGCUGAGACGCGAAAGCGUGGGGAGCGAACAGG
rnacentral:rRNA from 1 species